AGAAUGAACGUUGGCGGCAUGGAUUAGGCAUGCAAGUCGCGCGCGAAAUGUAGCAAUACAUGGAGAGCGGCGAAAGGGAGAGGAAUACGUGGGAACCUACCUCGGGGCCUGGAAUAGCGGCGGGAAACUGCCGGUAAUGCCAGAUAACGUCUCCGGACCAAAGGUGUGAUUCCGCCUGGAGAUGGGCCCACGUCCUAUCAGCUAGUUGGCGAGGUAAAAGCUCACCAAGGCUAAGACGGGUAUGGGGUGUGAGAGCAGUCGCCCCCAUCACUGGGACUGAGACACUGCCCAGACACCGUACGGGUGGCUGCGAGUCGAGAACUCUUCGGCAAUGAGCGACAAGCUUGACCGAGCGAUCGCCGCGUGCGGAUCGGAACGGUCCCGU
rnacentral:rRNA from 1 species